GAGGGUAUAGCUCAGUGGUAGAGGCACAUGCUUAGCAUGCAUGAGGUCCUGGGUUCAAUCCCCACUGCCUCCU
rnacentral:tRNA from 1 species